AUUUCGUUGAUCUUGCGGAUAACUGCACCUAAUUGCAUAAAUGAUCUGCUUGUAAUUUUUGUUAUAUUAUUGUGAUAUUACAUACAGAGGAAUGCUAACUGUAUCUAUGUAUAGAUAUUUGAUCUAUUCCGCGAAGACAUCUCAUCUUGCAAGAUAAUAAAUAAGUUUAAUUAAAAAAUACUUUUAAAAAUAUAAAAUGUAAUAUGUAACACACACGCACACGCACACGCUCAUAAGCAUGCACGCAUGCACGCACGCAUCUACAUACACAUAGUGAUUUCAAUAACGCUGGUGUCUAGUAUCUUAUAUUCUCAAACAAUAUUCCGACUGUUUUCCAUAAUUAUAUAUAUAUAUAUAUACACACACACAGAGUGUUUCUUAUCUCGCGGCCACGAAGUACAUAGUGUUAUUCCUUAUGGAAAGUUGAGUCGAAAAGUCCUGAACUAUUUUUUUUACGAUGCUUAAUGAAAGAGUUAUUGUUAAGUAAAUUCUAGCGAAUCAGUGCCGUCCUUUCGAAGGUACAUGCUGUGAGGUGCCUGGUAGUGUGCUUGAGUGUUCCUCUGCCAUACCGCGUUGUCACGUCGUUGCGUCCAUGCUGCUAAGACAGUUGUGUAACUGUUGCUGUUGAGCAAGAUCGCUCAUCCCAUUUUUAACAAUUGAGAAUAAGAUUGCGUACAUUUGUAAUAAAACAGUUCAACUUUUCUGUAUUUUUGUAAUAUACUUGCAGAAUGCUAACUUUGCUCAUUUCUGGCUCCUCUUCGGAUUUACAUGUUUUUGUAUGUUUAUAAUCUCAUAAUUAUAUAAUAUAAACAGCUUGUGCGUACGGACAUGCAGGAGCUUAGUUGGUGUCAUUUAAUAUUUCCUUACAUGUAACUGCAAUCGUACUAUGUUCCGCGCUAUUUCCAUAUUUUUUGAUUAUUGCGAUUUCGUUUUCAUCUUUUAAUUCGUUACAGAAAUAUUGAAGACGGUUUACAAAACACUUCACCUAUCGUAUUAUAUUAAUAAUAUAUCAGACAAUUUCUUUUUGAUAAAAUAAAUUGUGAUAAACUUUUGAAAACUUAUGGUAUAUAAAGCCUUAUUUAUCUUAAAUGUUUAGCAAUAUAUUAAAGUAAAAGCUCAACUUACAGUGUAUGCGUUAACCCAAAAAGAAAUUUGAUGAACUUCGCCCAAAA